rnacentral:tRNA from 1 species
UAGUGGGAUAUAGUGUAUUGGUAGCACAGGGGGUUUUGAGCUCUCUAGAUUAGGUUCAAUUCCUAUUGUCCCAG